rnacentral:rRNA from 1 species
UACGUAGGGGGCAAGCGUUGUCCGGAAUCAUUGGGCGUAAAGAGCGUGUAGGCGGCUCGGUAAGUCCGCUGUGAAAGUCCAGGGCUCAACCCUGGAAUGCCGGUGGAAACUGUCGAGCUAGAGUCCGGAAGAGGCGAGUGGAAUUCCAGGUGUAGCGGUGAAAUGCGUAGAUAUCUGGAGGAACACCGGUGGCGAAGGCGGCAUCCUGGACCGGCAUUGACGCUGAGGAGCGAAAGCCAGGGGAGCAAACGGG